UACGAAGGGGGCUAGCGUUGCUCGGAAUCACUGGGCGUAAAGCGCACGUAGGCGGAUUGUUAAGUCAGGGGUGAAAUCCUGGAGCUCAACUCCAGAACUGCCUUUGAUACUGGCGAUCUGAGUCCGGGAGAGGUGAGUGGAACUGCGAGUGUAGAGGUGAAAUUCGUAGAUAUUCGCAAGAACACCAGUGGCGAAGGCGGCUCACUGGCCCGGUACUGACGCUGAGGUGCGAAAGCGUGGGGAGCAAACAGG
rnacentral:rRNA from 1 species